rnacentral:rRNA from 1 species
UGAUGCAGCGACGCCGCGUGAGCGAUGAAGCCCUUCGGGGUGUAAAGCUCUUUCGGCAGGAACGAUAAUGACGGUACCUGCAGAAGAAGCUGCGGCUAACUACGUGCCAGCAGCCGCGGUAAUACGUAGGCAGCAAGCGUUGUUCGGAAUUACUGGGCGUAAAGAGUGUGUAGGUGGUGUCGUAAGUUUGGUGUGAAAUCUCCCGGCUUAACUGGGAGGGUGCGCCGAAGACUGCGAUGCUGGAGUAUGGGAGAGGAAAGCGGAAUUCCUGGUGUAGCGGUGAAAUGCGUAGAUAUCAGGAGGAACACCUGCGGUGUAGACGGCUUUCUGGACCAUUACUGACACUGAGACACGAAAGCGUGGGUAGCAAACAGGAUUAGAUACCCUGGUAGUCCACGCCCUAAACGAUGCAUACUUGGUGUGAGCCAUUCAGUUGGUUCGUGCCGGAGCUAACGCGUUAAGUAUGCCGCCUGGGGAG